CGCAAUUUGUAUGUGUCCAGGAAUGUUUUAAAAUGGAUAUUAAUUGUUAUUGGACUGAAUUAUUGGAGAAAAAGUAGAUUUGAAAGAAAGAACAUCAAAACAAAUUUGUUUGUAAAAUACCUGCUGAAGAGGGACAUACAGAUCCGAA